rnacentral:lncRNA from 1 species
GAUAGAUGAAUACGUGGAUGAAUGAGUUGGUAGAUGAGUGAAUGGGUGAAUGGAAAGAUGGAUGAUGUCGAGAGUCAGUGUUUUCACAAAAUCUCCCUGCCCAGGGAGGAGUCCAUUCUCAGGCCAGGCCCUGCCGUCACCCCACAGCAGCCCUGCCAUGGCCCUUCUCUCCUCAAUGGCCUUCGAGGGAAAAGGAAGAAAUGUGUCUUGGCUGGAGGCCCACGUUUCGUUCCAGCACAUCCUUUUUACCAAAAGAGCCGUCCCUGGAGCUGCCAACAGUGUUUACAAGAAAACCAUCCAACAAUAGUUUGGAUCUGGGAGCAUGGCCUGACCAUAGACGUGGCCUUCCCCACCCUGAGAACCAACCAUCAGGAAGCCUGGCACAUGAUACGAAAAGGCAGAGAUGCAGAAACAGACGCUGUGCAUGUCCCUGCAAGACUGAUACAAGAUGACUGAGAAAUGUCAUCUGAGAGAAGGGGAAGAACCAGCCCUACAUUAAAAAGGUAAAGAAAUAGAAGAAAAAAAAUCAUGAAGUCAGUGUGUAAUUAUAGUUGAUGCAUAUAUUGUAUUUUAUAAUGCCACCUGACCUGCCUCUUGAGAAAUCUGUAUGCAGGUCAGAAAGCAACAGUUAGAAAUGGACGUGGAACAACAGACUGGUUCCAAUAGGAAAAGCCGUACGUCAAGGCUGUAUAUUGUCACCCUGCUUAUUUAACUUGUAUGCAGAGUACACCAGGAGAAACGCUGGGCUGGAUGAAGCACAAGCUGAAAUCAAGAUUGCCAGGAGAAAUAUCAAUAACCUCAGAU